rnacentral:rRNA from 1 species
AAACGUAGGAGGCGAGCGUUAUCCGGAUUUACUGGGCGUAAAGCGCGUGCAGGCGGUUUUGUAAGUCGUGCGUGAAAGCUCCCUGGCUUAACCGGGAGAGGUCGUGCGAUACUGCAAAACUAGAGACAGGUAGAGGCAAGCAGAAUUCCGGGUGUAGUGGUGAAAUGCGUAGAUAUCCGGAGGAAUAUCAGUGGCGAAGGCGGCUUGCUGGACCUGUUCUGACGCUCAGACGCGAAAGCAUGGGGAGCGAACGGGAUUAGAAACCCCGGUAGUCC